rnacentral:rRNA from 1 species
GAUGAACGCUGGCGGCGUGCCUAAUACAUGCAAGUCGAGCGAACGGACGAGAAGCUUGCUUCUCUGAUGUUAGCGGCGGACGGGUGAGUAACACGUGGAUAACCUACCUAUAAGACUGGGAUAACUUCGGGAAACCGUAGCUAAUACCGGAUAAUAUUUUGAACCGCAUGGUUCAAAAGUGAAAGACGGUCUUGCUGUCACUUAUAGAUGGAUCCGCGCUGCAUUAGCUAGUUGGUAAGGUAACGGCUUACCAAGGCAACGAUGCAUAGCCGACCUGAGAGGGUGAUCAGCCACACUGGAACUGAGACACGGUCCAGACUCCUACGGGAGGCAGCAGUAGGGAAUCUUCCGCAAUGGGCGAAAGCCUGACGGAGCAACGCCGCGUGAGUGAUGAAGGUCUUCGGAUCGUAAAACUCUGUUAUUAGGGAAGAACAUAUGUGUAAGUAACUGUGCACAUCUUGACGGUACCUAAUCAGAAAGACACGGCUAACUACGUG